AUGCAUUGACACGGAUAAAUGUUCUGCCAACCAGAACCAUGCUUUGCUGUGACUGCACACAACCAGUGGAGGCGAGGAGAAAUAUGCCAGUCAUCUGGAAGAUUAACUGCUCCAAAACAAAAU